AUGUCUGUAGUCUGUGUGUCUCAUUCGCUACAUUGGAACAAUGGACAGUAUUUCUACAGUGCUUACAAACCAACCUUUCUGGGUCACUUAAGUGCCUAUAGUAACUGUAUUGCUGCGAUUCUGACUGCUUGUGAUGGAUAGCUCAGGCUUAUAUGAGUUUUCCCACCUCAAGAAAAAAAAAAAGAGAGAGAGAGAGAGAUCUAGAGUUUUAAGACAGAGAGAUAGAGGGGGUGGAAAGGUGAUGACCUAUAGACUAACAAAUCGUGUUCGUGUUUACAGAUGACCGCCAAAAAAAAAAAAAAAAAAGAAAAAACACAGUACAAAUCGUGUUAAUUAGGUUUUAACGCAAAUCAAUAUAACCUGUUUUGCCAGUUAUGUAAGUCUACGUGUAAGGUGAAAGCCACAUUAUAGGGAAGAGCAAAUUAUAAUUAAUAGCUCGUGGUCAUUUGUUUGCUUUAACUUAAUGAACUGCGCACAGUGAAAACAGUGUUCUUGAAAUAACACUUGAGUGUGACUCUAAAAUGCUCCGACAUCACCGUCUUCUCAUAAAAAAGGGCAUGCUGUAAUAAAAAUAUCUGUCUAAUAAACAAGGUCACAUAUUGAAAGAUCAGAGGAUAAUGUUGCAGUACUUUAGCACGACGGCUUUCAUUAAAUCCGCCCCCUUUUUUGAUUGACGUCUUUUUGGCUCCGCCCUGUUACCGAAAUCUGCGCGAGGCUCUAUCGGCUGAGCAGCUAGAUCACGUGGGGGGAAAGCACUGAUCUCAGAACAGCUCUGUUGUACAGUUCUGUUGUACAACUAUGGACACGGUUGACCUGGGGCUUAAGGGAGCUGAUCUGAGAGCGGUGCAGAAACAGAGUUGCUGUAACGUUCAAAACGCAUAUAGCCUAUGAUUCUUUCAUGAAAUGAGAGAUUGCAGCAGCCAACAUGGACGACUGGGAUCCUUGUGAACGGAAAAAACAAAAAAACCAAAUUCCAACUACACACUUCUCGUUUCCGGUUUGUGUACAUCGUUUUAAUAUUUUAUUCUGACUCUUUUAAAGCGUAUAAGUCCUUAUCACACAGACUAUUGAAAGAGAAAAAGAAGCUAUAAAUAAGUCCUCACCAAGAUGGCCGACUGACGGCACCGUAUGGCGUCUUGAAGUCUUCUGAUUGGACGGUGUGGAGGAACGAACGCAGGCUUGACGCUUUGCGAAAGCUGAUUGGAUGAAAGAAAUGUCCGUUAAACGAAAAUGCCGCGCUGGAGGUUCGUGGAAAACGUGGAGUUGUUGUUCUUGUCUGGAAUGGGUCUGGGUGAUUGUUAAAGCCUAUGUUCUCCAGGUGCAGUAGAGUUUUCUGUACCUGUAAACAGAGCUUGAAUUGAGGGGGGGCUGGGGAUCCGGGACCACCCAUAAGGCAUUAGACCCCCCCAAGUCUAUUUUUUACUUGUCAUGGGGGGGUCCCCAAGAUUACUUUAGUAAAAAAUAUAUGAAUUACACAACAACUGGGGACCCCCCCAUAAGACUUAAUUGGAGUACUGCCUGCAGUAUAUACAAUAGCGUGUAUUGUAGUUUCACACUAUAAUGUGUUACUUUCACUUAUGCACAAUAAAUAGUUUUGAAAAGCACUAUAUCCAGAUUAAAGUACAGAUUAUAGGCACUUAAACUACCACCCAAGCCAGUUUUUUAAAGGUUGUGUAAGGUCUGAGUAAGAUCUCUAUCUUAUUUUAAAAUAAACCAUGGAAAAACAGUUAAUAUAAACCAUUUAUAUAAACAGUCUGCUACAAUGACCAGGUCUGCAUUUUGUAUGAAGGUCUGCAUUUAAUUGCCCAUCACUGAAUUCUACACCUCAACAAUGAUGAAACUAUAAUGAAUGGACAUCGAGUGUCACCCAGAUAAGGAUGGGUUUCCUAAUGAUUCUGGUUCCUCCAAAAGUUUCUUCCUCUUUCCAUCUCAGGGAGAUUUUCCUUGACUCUACUGUUUUGCUUAUUAGGGAUAAACAUACGAGAGUUCAACAUAUAAAUCUAUAUUUUUAACCUAUUUAUUGCUGUAAAGCUGCUUCAGGACAAUGUAAAUUUUUAAAUGCGCUAUACAGAUAAAACUCAAUUGAAAUGAGCUUCUCUGUUUUAUUAAUAAACAAUCAUUUUCAUUGA